UGACUAAGGGUUCCUGGGUCAAGCUGAUCUGCCCAGGGUAAGUCGGGACCUAAGGCGAGGCCGACAGGCGUAGUCGAUGGACAACCGGUUGAUAUUCCGGUACCCGCUUUGAAACGCCCAAUAUCGAAUCAGGCGAUGCUAAGCCCGUGAAGCCGUUCCGGACCCUUCGGGGAAAGGAAAGUGGUGGAGCCGGUGACCCAGACUUGUAGUAGGUAAGCGAUGGGGUGACGCAGGAAGGUAGUCCAGCCCGGGCGGUGGUUGUCCCGGGGUAAGGGUGUAGGACGUUGUCUAGGCAAAUCCGGACAACACAUAGUCUGAGACCUGAUGCCGAGCCGAUUGUGGUGAAGUGGAUGAUCCUAUGCUGUCGAGAAAAGCCUCUAGCGAGUUUCAUGGCGGCCCGUACCCUAAACCGACUCAGGUGGUCAGGUAGAGAAUACCGAG
rnacentral:rRNA from 1 species